rnacentral:rRNA from 1 species
GAUGAACGCUGGCGGCGUGCUUAACACAUGCAAGUCGAACGAUGAAGCCCAGCUUGCUGGGUGGAUUAGUGUCGCACGGGUGAGUAACACGCGAGUAACCUGCCCUUAACUCUGGGAUAAGCCUGCGAAACUGGGUCUAAUACCGGAUAGGAGCGCCUACCGCACGGUGGGUGUUGGAGAGAUUUAGCGGUUUUGGAUGGACUCGCGGCUUAUCAGCUUGUUGGUGGGGUAGUGGCUCACCAAGGCGAUGACGGGUAGCCGGCCUGAGAGGGUGACCGGCCACACUGGGACUGAGACACGGCCCAGACUCCUACGGGAGGCAGCAGUGGGGAAUAUUGCACAAUGGGCGGAAGCCUGAUGCAGCGACGCCGCGUGCGGGAUGACGGCCUUCGGGUUGUAAACCUCUUUCGGUAGGGAAGAAGCGAAAGUGACGGUACCUGCAGAAGAAGCACCGGCUAACUACGUG